GUUCUGGUUGGAGAGUCCAGUGAUAUACGGUUACGAGCUAUCAUGGUGAUAUUAGGAGUUUUGUCCACAUGUAUCCACAGUGUCGGUGAGGUUUGACUACUAUAUGUUGGUGAACAACAUCACGGGGUUGUAGUAGGUACCAAGGGUUGGGCUGUUCGCCAAUUAAAGUGGUACGCGAGCUGGGUUCAGAACGUCGUGAGCCAGUUCGGUCCCUAUCCGUCGCAGGCGUAGGAAAUGUGAGAAGACCUGUCCUUAGUACGAGCGGACCGGGAUGGACGUACCUCUGGUGUACCCGUUGUCCUGCCAAGGGCAUGGCUGGGUAGCUAGGUACGGAAUGGAUAAGCGAUGAAAGAAUC
rnacentral:rRNA from 1 species